AAUGUAAAUGGUUUUCCCAGUUUUUCCCUGCAAAAGAAAAAUACCAGCAGUAUACCGGAAGCAAAAAAGUCUUUGAAGAAAUCAUAGCACUAGACAUUGCAUUGAUAGAUGGUGCACUUCCAGCAAAAAGAGGUCCCAAAACACCAUGAGAAUUAUCUAUUAAUAAAACAAUUUACUUUGUAUCUCAUGGGCCUGAAUGUGUCAUUAUAUUUUGGUAUGUUUAUUUAUACAAAUUAUAAUCACCUAAAGACACUUGAAAAGUCAUCUGGCUUAAGGAUUACAAAGAUGGAGUGGUGUCUUUCACUUGUAUCAGAAAUUUUGUAACUGAUUAUUUCAAAUUGGGGUGUGGGUAUUUAUAAAAACUCUUUGAGAAAAAGAAAUGUGCUUCUGACAAGCUGUCCAAGGUAGAUGCUGUGUUGCUUGGCAUUCGAGAAUAAUAACUGUGAGUGUGUCUGCUACAAUGCCUUUAUUACCAAAGUGUUGGCUAACAAGCGAGUGUUCACUGGCAAACUCCGCUCUAUUGUACUCUGACCCCGAGUCUGCGUGAGGACAAUAGUCUGGUUCAAGGCUGACCAGACUGAGGUGGGUGGUGUUUUCCUAAUAGGGCUGGUUUGAAACACAGCUAGCUAGUCCAGCAAAAAUAUACUAUGGGAACCAGUCUGUUCUCUCACAGCGAGGGGAAUUCCCAGCCAAUACAUUUGAUUGUGCUUGUGUAAACAGCCCAAGUAUUUGAAGCAAAGACUUGACCUAACUUUAUGAGAAACCAGCUCCUGCCUGCUUCUGCUGGACACGCCCAGCUCGGAAUGCUCUUUGUUAAAUCGCUCAGGCUCUGGAGACGGUGCAAUGUAGACAGCAAUAUCAGUGUGGCCGUUAAGAGUUGUUAAAAUACCGAAUGACGUCUGAACUAGUUGGUAAAUAGCCACUGUCUUGAGUUGUCUCCCUUACCCACAGCCCUCGGCCGUCUUCCCUCAGACCCUGGACCCCUGAGACCUCCCCAGGAUUCAGCAACUCGAGGUGUAACUCCUGUUGGAGCAGAGGCCCCGUGUCCCAGGGUUAAAGACAGCAUCUGCCCUGAUUGGCCAGUGCCUGUAUGCUUCUGGUUUUGGAGUCUGUUGAAUGUCACCCUGACAAAGAGCUAGUGAAAUACCACUUCAGCGUUAUCAGUCGAAGACCAAACCUGCCCCUCGCCCCCAAAUCUCAGGACAACAGCCAUGGUCCAAACAAAGGAAAGGGACCGCUGCGUGGAACCAGGGGGCCUCCAGGUCCCUACGUCUCUUUAAGGACGGUCCUGGUAUUCAGUGUGAUGUUGUCUGUCCUUCCUUGUGCUCCCUGCCUCCACGUUGGGGAUUGGUUCUGUUUAUAAUUCUUCUUGGGGCUUGUAGAAAUUGCUCCGAAGUUCCACGGUAGAGCAUUUCUGCUAAUAAGCAUAUGCCGGAAAAGUGUGGGUAGGAUGAUAACAACCCACCCACUUUAAGCUUAUUUUAGAAGAUGGAAACAUUAGAAAAUGAAAAUUAAUUAAUGAGCAAGUGAAGACAAAUGCCAAAUAGCAUGUGUCAGAGACUUCUAUAUUUCCUUUUUUACCCUUUUCCUUUCCUUUUAAAAACCUAAAUUAUAUUGUAUCCCUAUGGGUUUAAAACCCUCCAGGGGCUUAUCAUUGCUCUGAGAACAAAACUCUCGUCCCUUACGAGCUGCAGGGUUCUCUGUGGUCUGGCUGUGGCCCCUCUCUCUGCUCUGAUCUCACACAGUUCCUGCCCUUCCUCACCCUGCGUCUCGCACACCCCCUUCCCAAGCCCUGCUCAGCUGACUCCUUGUUUCAGAGCCUCUGCCCCAGUUGCUUCCCCUGUUCCCACUCUGCUGUGUGAUCCCAUCUAUCACUGAGUUCUAAUCUCCUUAGAGAACCAUUUCCUGAUUGCUUUUUAUGAUAUCACUCUCCUUUGGUUUAUCCCAACCUCUAAUCACUAUCUGAGAUAAUUUGAGUAGAAUAGCCUGCCUCCCUCCUCCAGAAUGUGAGUUAUUGUGAGGGCAGGGACUUUUCUGUCUUGCUCACCAUCACAGUCCAGUACCUACUAGAAUGAGAAGCAGUGCAGCUGGGAAGAAGCCAUAGAAAGCAGUGGUUAAUACGCGGGCUCUGGAGACAGAAAACUUGUGUGAGAAACUCAGUCCUACCUCCAAAUUGCCGUGUGACUUUACGAAGCAACAGCACCCAUGUUGUAGGGUUCUUGUGAAAAAUUAAGUGAGCUAAUAACAUUAGAAAUGCAUUUAGAACAAAAUCUGGCACAUGCCUGGCUGGACCUCAGAGAUUCUUCUCAAACCAGAACUGCAGGAUAACCAUGCAAGGUAUUAUCUACAUUGGUUGGUUGGAGCGUGGCAUUGAUGAGCUCACAGUCAGGGCUUCAGUUUCCUUCCCUCAGUCAAAAUCAGUCAGAGAAACAGAGAAAAGGCUGUCCUGCAACCUCUGAUCCUGCUGUAAUUCUGUUACCUGUGCCACAUGGUCAGGUGUUCAUAAGGCGGGGGCUUCCUUCUUGCUUUCAGCAUUUAUCACACUGUUAUUACUGUUAUUCCCUCAACUCCAGACAUUACUGAUGAUAAGAUGCAUCAUCACUUUAGUAUUAGGGGUAAAAGAAACCUUAUUGCAUUAAGUAAAACCAUGGAUUAAAUGUAUAGAAAAAUAAAAUAUGAGAAAAUA